CUCUGAAAACAAGAACAAUCUGGAAUGUCACUGUUCAAGUUAAAGAUACUCAAGGAGUAAAGGCUCACACUUCAUGAAUUCGGUGUUUUCAUUCUUUCCAGGAAUUCUUCAUAUGCAUCACAGGGGAGAAACGGAAUCUAGGUGUUACAAGAGAAACUUGGUCUGUGUAAGAAGCUGGAUAUGCAUUAUGAUUGUCUGCUUUUCCAUAGGACUAUGGAUAUAGUUCACAGCACAGCCUAAGAUGAGUUGAAGCAUCCUUCCAAGCUCUGCUGCAUCAGAAUGUUCUCCAAUAAGAUUCACAUCAGGAAGGGUAAAGUCAUUAAUUUGCUGUCCUAAAAUCUGAAUGGCGACA